rnacentral:rRNA from 2 species
GGGAUUGCCUUAGUAACGGCGAGUGAAGCGGCAACAGCUCAAAUUUGAAAUCUGGCUCCUUCGGGGUCCGAAUUGUAAUUUGUAGAGAGUGCUUCGGGCGAGGCCUCGGUCUAAGUCCAUUGGAACAUGGUGUCAUAGAGGGUGAGAAUCCCGUAUGCGACCGUGGCUCGAGCCCAUGUGAAGCCUCUUCGACGAGUCGAGUUGUUUGGGAAUGCAGCUCAAAAUGGGUGGUAAAUUUCAUCUAAAGCUAAAUACUGGCUGGAGACCGAUAGCGCACAAGUAGAGUGAUCGAAAGAUGAAAAGCACUUUGGAAAGAGAGUCAAACAGUACGUGAAAUUGUUGAAAGGGAAGCGCUUGCAACCAGACCUGCCCGUAGGCGAUCAGCCGCUGUUUUCAGCGGUGCACUCGCUCUGCGAUCAGGCCAGCAUCGGUUUCGGCGGUCGGAUAAAGGCCUUGGGAAUGUAGCUCCCCUCCGGGGGAGUCUUAUAGCCCUUGGUGCAAUGCGGCCAGCCGGGACCGAGGACCGCGCUUCGGCUAGGAUGCUGGCGUAAUGGUUGUAAGCGACCCGUCUUGAAACACGGACCAAGGAGUCUAACAUCUAUGCGAGUGUUUGGGUGUCAAACCCAUGCGCGGAAUGAAAGUGAACGGAGGUGAGAACCCUUUAAGGGCGCAUCAUCGACCGAUCCAGAUGUCUUCGGAUGGAUUUGAGUAUGAGCAUAGCUGUUGGGACCCGAAAGGUAAUUUGAACUCCCCUCUUGUUUAUAAGAAUCAUAUGCUAACUUUUCCAAAAGAUGGUGAACUAUGCCUGAAUAGGGUGAAGCCAGAGGAAACUCUGGUGGAGGCUCGCAGCGGUUCUGACGUGCAAAUCGAUCGUCAAAUUUGGGUAUAGGGGCGAAAGACUAAUCGAACUA